UUUCAAGCGAAAUAUAGAUAAAAGCUAAUCUAAUAAUAGUUAUUUUUAAUUGUGAUUAAGCUUUGAAUAAUAAUAAUAAACAGGAAAUAAGAAAAUGCCUAGAGUAGCGGGGAAAAGAGAAAGUAGUGGCGAAAAAUCUUUCUUGGACUGGCACAAAAAAAAAUCUGUCUUGUAUAGCUGCCAUCAAAGAUGCCUUCAUGAAAAAGUAUCCAGCUGAAUCUGUAGAUGCCUGUGCCCAUAAAACUAAAAAAGUGUUUUUGUAUGCCAACGAUAGAUUAAACAAAAUAGAAAAAUACAAGUCGAAAGCUAAUUAAACCCAUUUAUUCAAAUAACCGAAUCCCUAUUUACUUUAAUUUUAA